GUCGAGAAUAAUUCACAAUGGACGAAAGUCUGAUGGUGCAACGCCGCGUGGAGGAUGAAGGUCUUCGGAUUGUAAACUCCUGUCAUCGGGGAGUAAGACCUGGCGGUAAAUAGCCGACAGGGUUGAUAGUACCCGAAGAGGAAGGGACGGCUAACUUCGUGCCAGCAGCCGCGGUAAUACGAAGGUCCCAAGCGUUGUUCGGAAUCACUGGGCGUAAAGGGAGCGUAGGCGGCGUGGUAAGUCAGAUGUGAAAUCCCGGGGCUCAACCACGGAACUGCAUCCGAUACUGCCAUGCUUGAGGGUUGGAGAGGUAGCUGGAAUUCUCGGUGUAGCAGUGAAAUGCGUGGAUAUCGAGAGGAACACUCGUGGCGAAGGCGAGCUACUGGACAACAUCUGACGCUGAGGCUCGAAGGCCAGGGGAGCAAAAGGGAUUAGAUACCCUAGUAGUUC
rnacentral:rRNA from 1 species